UACAGAGGUGGCAAGCGUUGUUCGGAAUUACUGGGCGUAAAGGGCGCGUAGGCGGUCUUGUCAGUCCCUUGUGAAAUCCCCCGGCUCAACUGGGGAGGGUCACUCGAUACUGAUCGACUUGAAGGCAGGAGAGGGAAGCGGAAUUCCCGGUGUAGUGGUGAAAUGCGUAGAUAUCAGGAGAACGACCGGUGGCGAAGGCGGGUCUCUGGGCCGGAUACUGACGCUGAGAGCGAAAGCGUGGGGAGGCGAACAGGAUGAGAACCCUAGG
rnacentral:rRNA from 1 species